GACCUUGUGGCAUAACGGUAAUACACACUCUCGGCGUGGGAGUGGGAUCUUGGUUCGAGUCCAAGCUUGGUCA
rnacentral:tRNA from 1 species